rnacentral:rRNA from 1 species
UACGGAGGGUGCAAGCGUUAUCCGGAUUCACUGGGUUUAAAGGGUGCGUAGGCGGAUAUGUAAGUCCGUGGUGAAAUCUCAAAGCUUAACUUUGAAACUGCCAUGGAUACUAUAUAUCUUGAAUGUUGUGGAGGUUUGCGGAAUAUGUCAUGUAGCGGUGAAAUGCUUAGAUAUGACAUAGAACACCGAUUGCGAAGGCAGCAGGCUACACAAAUAUUGACGCUGAGGCACGAAAGCGUGGGGAUCAAACAGG